rnacentral:rRNA from 1 species
AACGAACGCUGGCGGCAUGCCUAACACAUGCAAGUCGAACGAGACCUUCGGGUCUAGUGGCGCACGGGUGCGUAACGCGUGGGAACCUGCCCUUAGGUUCGGAAUAACUCCCCGAAAGGGGUGCUAAUACCGGAUAAUGUCUUCGGACCAAAGAUUUAUCGCCAUUGGAUGGGCCCGCGUUGGAUUAGCUAGUUGGUAGGGUAAAAGCCUACCAAGGCGACGAUCCAUAGCUGGUCUGAGAGGAUGAUCAGCCACACUGGGACUGAGACACGGCCCAGACUCCUACGGGAGGCAGCAGUGGGGAAUAUUGGACAAUGGGCGAAAGCCUGAUCCAGCAAUGCCGCGUAAGUGAUGAAGGCCUUAGGGUUGUAAAGCUCUUUUACCCGGGAUGAUAAUGACGGUACCGGGAGAAUAAGCACCGGCUAACUCCGUG